rnacentral:rRNA from 1 species
UGCAGCAGGCGCGAAAACUCCACACUGUACGGAAGUACGAUGGGGUUAUCUCGAGUGCAGCCCGAUAAGGGCUGCUUUUCCAUAGAGUAAUAUCCUGUGGGAAUAAGAGGGGGGCAAGACUGGUGUCAGCCGCCGCGGUAACACCAGCCCCUCGAGUGGUGGGGACUAUUAUUUGGCCUAAAGCGUCCGUAGCUGGCUGUAUCCGUCCCCCGUUAAAUCCAGCGUCCUAAGCGUUGGACUGCGGGUGAUACCAUACAGCUAGAGGGUGGGAUAGGUGAGCGGUAUUUCUGGGGUAGGGGCGAAAUCCUUUGAUCCCAGGAGGACCACCAGUGGCGAAGGCUGCUCACUAGAACACGCCUGACGGUCAGGGACGAAAGCUGGGGCAGCGAACCGGAUUAGAUACCCGGGUAGUCCCAGCUGUAAACGAUGCUAGCUAGGUGUUGGGUCGGCCACGUGCCGCCCCAGUGCCGCAGGGAAGCCGUUAAGCUAGCCGCCUGGGGAGUACGGCCGCAAGGCUGAAACUUAAAGGAAUUGGCGGGGGAGCAC